GACGAACCGAUCCAACUGUUGGUUCGAAUCACUGGGCUUAAAGGGCGCGUAGGCGGACUGCCAAGUCCGGGGUGAAAUCUUCGGCUUAACCGGAAAGGCCUUGGAAACUGGCGGUCUCGAGGGAGGUAGGGCCUGUGGAACUUCGGGUGGAGCGGUGAAAUGCGUUGAUAUCCGAAGGAACGCCGGUGGCGAAAGCGACGGGCUGGAUCUCUUCUGACGCUGAGGCGCGAAAGCCAGGGGAGCAAACGGG
rnacentral:rRNA from 1 species